GUGGGGGAUAUUGCACAAUGGAGGAAACUCUGAUGCAGCGACGCCGCGUGAGGGAAGAAGGUCUUCGGAUUGUAAACCUCUGUCUUCGGGGACGAAAGAAAUGACGGUACUCGAGGAGGAAGCCACGGCUAACUACGUGCCAGCAGCCGCGGUAAAACGUAGGUGGCAAGCGUUGUCCGGAAUUACUGGGUGUAAAGGGAGCGCAGGCGGAACUGCAAGUUGGAUGUCAAAUCUACGGGCUCAACCCGUAUACGCAUUCAAAACUGCGGUUCUUGAGUAGUGCAGAGGUAGGCGGAAUUCCCGGUGUAGCGGUGGAAUGCGUAGAUAUCGGGAGGAACACCAGUGGCGAAGGCGGCCUACUGGGCACCAACUGACGCUGAGGCUCGAAAGCAUGGGUAGCAAACAGGA
rnacentral:rRNA from 1 species